UAGUGACCUGCGGAGGACU
rnacentral:rRNA from 1 species